UGGCGGCAUGCCUUACACAAUGCAAGUCGAACGGCAGCACGGGAGCAAUCCUGGUGGCGAGUGGCGAACGGGUGAGUAAUAUAUCGGAACGUGCCCAGUCGUGGGGGAUAACGUAGCGAAAGCUACGCUAAUACCGCAUACGAUCUAUGGAUGAAAGCGGGGGAUCGCAAGACCUCGCGCGAUUGGAGCGGCCGAUAUCAGAUUAGGUAGUUGGUGAGGUAAAGGCUCACCAAGCCGACGAUCUGUAGCUGGUCUGAGAGGACGACCAGCCACACUGGGACUGAGACACGGCCCAGACUCCUACGGGAGGCAGCAGUGGGGAAUUUUGGACAAUGGGCGCAAGCCUGAUCCAGCAAUGCCGCGUGCAGGAUGAAGGCCUUCGGGUUGUAAACUGCUUUUGUACGGAACGAAACGGUGAGCUCUAAUACAGUUUGCUAAUGACGGUACCGUAAGAAUAAGCACCGGCUAACUACGUG
rnacentral:rRNA from 1 species